UACGACCAUACCCACUGGAAAGCUUAGGAUCCCGUCCGCUCUCCCAUAGAUAAGCUAGUAAGGGCCGGAUCAGUAGUUAAGUUAGUAACGAUUGGUAAAUACCUGGUGUUA